UACGUAGGGUGCAAGCGUUGUCCGGAAUUAUUGGGCGUAAAGAGCUCGUAGGCGGUCUGUCACGUCGGCUGUGAAAACCCGAGGCUCAACCUCGGGCCUGCAGUCGAUACGGGCAGACUAGAGUUCGGUAGGGGAGACUGGAAUUCCUGGUGUAGCGGUGAAAUGCGCAGAUAUCAGGAGGAACACCGGUGGCGAGGGCGGGUCUCUGGGCCGUUACUGACGCUGAGGAGCGAAAGCGUGGGGAGCGAACAGG
rnacentral:rRNA from 1 species